rnacentral:lncRNA from 1 species
UUUUUUUUUUUUUUUUUUUUUUUUUAAGCAGGGCUUCCUGAUGAAUUUUUUAAUUCGUUCUAAAUAAUUGGUCUAUUGAGUUGGCCCCGACUUCAAAACAGUUUAACAUAUGGGAUUUAUACACAAUGAAUGAAUAAAACUUAUAAACACCAGAAUUCCCACUGUGGUGCCACAGGAUCUAUGGUAUCUCUGCACUGCCAGGAUGCAGGUUCAGUGCCCAGCCCAGCACAGUGGAUUAAAGGAUUCGGCAUUGCCACAGCUACAGCAUAGGUCACAACUAUGGCUCCAAUCUGAUCUAUGACCUGAGAACUCCAGACACCAUGGGCAGCCAAAAUAGAAAAGCAAAAAACAAAAACUUAGAAAUGUUACAAUCACAGUAAGUUCUCGAAAAGAAUGGCACAUGUUGCAAGGAAAAAAGUAAAAGUCAUGGAGGUUAGACAUUGAAGGGAGUUGGCAGGGGAUGGGCGGAAAAUUCUCCCCAAGUGAAUCAAAGCCCUGGGAGGGCAGGGAGCUCAUGUAUGUUUAAGGGACUAAAAGAAGGUGUCAAUGUGACCGGAACCCAGACAAUGAGAUGGGGAGCAUGGUUCAUCCUGAGGCUGGAGACAUGAGCUGGACCCCUGUAGUGUUAAAAACUUUAUCCUAAAUCAGUGAGAAGCUGUUGAAAGAAAGAUCACUUCGAGAAAUGGUGCACCUGAAAGAUCUGAGAAAAGUGAGCACAUGUUGGUGAUGAGAUGGGAUAAGAAGUGUGAUGGAGAAGAAGGUAUCACCUCUCUCUCUAGUUUUCAGCUUGUAGAACAGGCUGGAUGCUGGCCCCCUUCAUUGAGUAGGGACUGGAAGGAAAUUUUAUGUAGGGUGUAUUGAGUGUGGGGAGACACUGAUUUGGGUUUCUGUUCGGAUCCUCGUUUUUUGGAUACAUUGGGUUUGAAGGCAUUUGAGACCUGUUGAUUGUCAAAGGGUGAGUAGAUAUAAGCUGUGAGCUUUCCGAAUAGCUGACUACCCGGUAAUUAAAACCUUGAAGAUCAUUGUGAAGGAUGAAGCCGGGGAAGAAAGAAGGGCGAGGAAAAAGAGAGACUGGGGCCCAGCCGUAGCACUGCAAGAGUGUCAGCUCUUGGAUAAUUGCAUUAAUUGAGCGUUUGGUCCAUUUUGUUACUCACUGGGAUUCCUUGUCCGAGCUUCCAUAAAUUCUAAGAAGAAUCUGGAGAGCUUGCAAAAGAAUAUUCCUGUGCUUGGGGCCUUUAGGGAAUCUGUGGGUGUCUCUCCUUAAGGAGAUAUUUGGUGUUCAGGGUCGGAUCUAAAGUAAUGCAGCUGCCUUCUUAUCUUUUGUUCUGCUAUUUUAGAAUCUCUGAACAGAUGUUUUUAAAUGUUUUUAAUAACACUGUGCUUUGAAAUUGGUACAGGCACCCAAAGAGCCUCUUGCAACAUGACAUGUAGGUUUUUAAUACAAAAAUAUUCUAAUGUUCAGAGCUACACAUAGAAGCCAAUGCCUGGAAUCCUGAGGGAGAUUUGUCUGCUUAUGAAAAUUCUGUAAAUUCUUUAUGGAAAGGAAGUCUUGCCAUGGUUUUAAUAUGACUCUCUGGAAUAAUCUCUGGAUAUGGUAAUAUUAACACAGAGUUACUUUUAAAAAAAUAAAUGUAAUAAAUGUUAGCUUUGGUUUUCUGGACAUGGCGUUUUCUAGAAAACUCUAGACUGCAUCCCCCCAAAUUUGAGUCUAAGUAAUGUUCUUAUGUUGUUUCUUCUUUCUCAAAAAUAUUUGGUAGGCUGACUUUAUUAAGUAUAACUAAUAAUAUUGGCAAGGAGACCGCGCCAUUUAAAUAAAAGUAGUUAUAGCCAUGUUUUCUAUAACUAUAUUUACAUGUAGCUGCUUCAGCUUUUAACUACAUAUGUUCACUUAGGUUUUUUCUUAUUAGAGGUCUUUCAUCCCUCUGAAAACUAUUAUUUCCUUAUUAAUUUCCCAGUGGCUUUGGGCAGUUUCUAGCUAUGGCAAUGACUAUGCGGAUAAACAGUCUUCAUUGUCUAUGGUUUUAUGAUAGAGAAAAAUAUGUUUGAUACACUUAAAAUGCUGAUGAUUAGAUGAAGUCAAAGGAGAAGUCAUUAACUUUGAUCUGAUUCCCACUAUAUUCCAAAGCCUGAGGAUUAUAAAAAUGAAGAUGUGUUGCUGCUCUCACCAAGCUUAGCAGAAAUGACCAAAAUAUACUGAGAACUUACUGUGGCUGGGCAUUCAUAGACUCUUGUAGCAAAUGUAAUAUAGCAAACGUAAAUCCUACCUUUUUCCAAGGAACGUAAUUUUAUGAGUGAGUAUAGUAAACUCAUCUAUCUAGGAGAGACCUCAAAGGACUUCCCUGAGAAGGUGAUGCUUGGAUUGAGUUCUAAGCAUGUGUUGGUUUUACUUGGGGGGAGCAGAGGAAGAGCUUUAUAGACUCAGGGGUCGAUCCUAAUCCAUGGCAGGAAGAGGAAGAAGGCCAAUGGAGAGUUCCUGCUCUGGCUUAGCAGGUUAAGAACCUGACUAGUAUCCAUGAGGAUGAGGGUUCAAUCCCUGGUCCCGCUCAGUGGGUUAAGGAUCCGACAUUGCUGCAAGCUGUGGUGUAGGUCACAGACACAACUCAGAUCUGGUGUUGCUGUGGCUGUGGUGUAGGUCUGCAGCUGCAGCUCCAGCAGAAAGUGGUUGGUGGCAAGUGACAGAGCCCCUGUAGGCCAUGUUUCAGUAGGUCUACCAUCAUCUAAGCAACUGCUCAUGCAUCAGAGUGUUGUCGUAAAACUCUAUACCAACUGUUCUGUGUAUAUGUUGGUGAGAGGAGGACCGUAUUUCUCUUAAUGCUGCUGAAUAAUCUAGCAAUCACUUGGGAAUGGGGCUGUUGAAACUUCAGAUCCAGGCUACCCCAAACCAAUUGAAUCAGAACCUCUGUGGGUACAUCCCGACAUCGGUCUAUUUUGAAGCUUCCAAAGCGAUUCUGAUGUGGAGCCAAGCUUGAGAGCUAGUGGUUUAAUGAGACUCCCUGGCUGCUUGGCUGAGAUUAGAGGCCAGGAAGGAGGUCAGGGGGCUUCCGUAGUGGGGAAGGGUGAGGUCUUGAAGAAGGCAGCUCCCCGAAGUGAAUGGAAAGGAAGGGGUGGGGUUCGAAGACAUUCAGGCCCUUGAAUGGAGCCAGUCCACGUUGGAACCUGUCCAGGGGAGUUUAUGUGCUAAAUAAACUUCAGAAGACCAUCUCUCAUGGGUGCCUUGAAAAUAAUUAGCUGACAUGCAUUUUCCAUAGUUUAAUUUUUUUCUUAACGCUUUUUAAAAAUGCUCUGAAAUGUUUGAAUAAAAUGAACAAUCGUGCAUCUGCACAACUUUAGAUUUCUGGCAUACUUUCUUCCAGUCUUCUUGUUUGUGAAAUAACCACAUGACAGUUGAGAAAAUCCCCUCCUCAACUCCACUGUACUCUUACCAACCCCACCAUCCAAACUUGAUGGUUACUGCUACUUGCAUGAGUGGUGCUUUAUUAUACAUGUUUGUGUUCAGAAAUAAUACAUGACUUUAUUUUCUGCUUUUAAACUUAAUAUAUGUGGCAUUCUAUGUUUUUCAUUGUGGUUGUUAUUUUUGUUUUUGUUUUUUGAGCCAGUGGCAUGGGGAAGCUCCCGGGCUAGGGAUUGAACCCAUGCCACACAGCAAUGACAACACUGGAUCCUUAACCACUAGGCCAUCAGGGAACUCCUGUAAAUGGUGUUCUGUGCAGUACACAUUCUUUUUCAACUUUAAUCUCAAAAAUGUGAUUUUGAGAUUUAUUUGUAAUGACAUAUAAUUCUAAUUUAUUUAUUUUAGCUGCUGUAAAGAGAUGCAUUGUAGGAAUGAGCUUCUAUUUAUAUAUUUGUUUUGCUAUUGAUGAACAUUUAUUUAGCUUCCAAUUUUAUUGCUGUUACAAACUGUGCUACUGUGACUAUUUUGUGCACAGUUUCACAAGGGCUUAUACCCACCCAGGAGUUAAAUGGUGGAUAAAAUGCUGUGUGCAUCUCAAGCCUUAUUUUCUGAAAAGAUUGUACCAAUUCACUCUCCCACCAAGUGGGAGUCCCCAUCACUCCCAUCCUUGUCAAUAGUCAGUGUUGGGGUUUUUCACCAAUAUUAUUAGUAUGAAAUCAUUUCUCAUUUUUAUUUUCCCUCUCCCAUGAAACCACAGUGGUUCCUCUUCUUCCAGUUCAUUGAUACCAUAUAUUGCUGUAUUAAAGGAAAAUGUCUUGGAAAUACAAAACCCUGACUAAUUUUCAUAUAGGAAACAUACCUUCCGUUAUGCCUGAGAGCUCACUCAGUCAUUCACUCAACAAACGUUGCCAGUUUGACUGAGAAUCCAAAGAUCCAUGAGACGUGCUCCCUGCUACCCGGGAACUCAUGGUCUUGAGGAGAAGGCAGACCAAAACAAAAGAGGGAUGGUACACACCUUGGUAAUUUGUUGGGAGUAGAGAAGGAAACUGCAGAAGAGGGGGAGAUGGAGUCGGUUAGGAGCUUAAGCAGGCUUCCUGCAGAAAGUGAUGUCCCAGAAGAACCCAAGAUAAAUAGGACUGAGUGAAUAUGAUCCUCCAAACUAGUAUCACCUUCCCAUUUCACAAGCAGGGAGAGUGAGGUCUAGGGAAUUAUCAUGACUAACUUGGGUAAGUAAAUUAUGAUGGAGCAAAUUGAAGCUAGAUCUUUGGCUCUGAAGCUUGCCCAUGCCGAAGGAGACCAUGGUGUUUAAGAGACCCCAUCACCUCCAUGGGUACCAAAGUCCUAAGGAUGCAGGUAAGCUCUGAAAAGAGCAAAAAGAGCAUCCCUCCCACGAGAUAACUCUCCCAGACAUUUGGCUGGACUCAUGCAUCAUUUGGAUUUUCCAUUGGUGUCAGCCCUCCUGCCAUUCAUUUGUUGCUGCCUGUCAGCAAACGCUAUGAUUGUUCUAGAAGGGAACUACCGAGUCAGCAAGAGUCUGCCAAAUUCCUGUUUCAGAUGUGAGCUUAAGGGCACAGAGGGCGGGAGGAGGGACUUUUUCUCUAAUGCUUUCCAGGGGCAGGGCUUCCAGGGCCUGGCAGGCCCUUGAAAGAAGGUGAGUUUUUACCCCGGCUGCCACUGCAGAGCUUCAAGAAAGGAGGGCCACGGUCUGAGUUGGUCUGAGUGGACAAAUGGGCAGCUAUGUCGAGACCAGGCAGAGGCAAUGAGGGGGGGGAGAGGAGACCGGUCAGGAGACCAUCUCAACAAGCCAGACCAAAGAUGACGAGGCUUGGACCAGUGCAGUACCAGCAGGGGUGAUCUUUGGAUUUAUUCGAAAGGGGACAUCAGCAGUGCAUCCUGGUAGACAGCAGGGACUUUAAGAGAAAGAGGGGAGGCCCUUCCUGUUUUCCUGCUCAUCCUCCAGAAAAUUGCUGAAGGACAGGCAGAAGUGGUCUUGUUAAGAGUAGAUGCCUGGGAGUUCCCUAGUGGCCUAGCAGGUUAAGGAUCUGAUAUUGUCCCUGCUAUGGCUCAUAGCUAUGGCUUCUAUGGCAUGGGUUUGAUCCCUGGCCUAAGAACUUCCUGCAAGGAAAAAAAAAAAAAUAGAUGCCUGAUACAGUUACACAUGCUCUCCUGUGGGGGACACCUGCUUUGCCUCCAUUGUGAAUUUGUCUUCAACACAAAACCCCUGAACUCACCCAAAAGCUGUGGACAGGCAUUUAGAUGAGACUAGAAAAUGUUUGAGGAGUUCCCAUUGUUGCUCAUCAGUAAUGAAUCCGACUAGUAUCCAUGAGGUGAUAAGUCUUGAUCCCUGGCCUUGCUCAGUGGGGUGAGAAUCUGGCAUUGCUGCAAGCUGGGGUGUAGUUCGAAGACACAGCUCUGCUCCCGAGUUGCUGUGGCUGUGGUGUAGGCCUGCAGCAGCAGCUUCGAUUUGACCCCUAGCCUGGGAACGUCCAUGUA